AACUUAAAGGAAUUGACGGGGGCCCGCACAAGCGGAGGAACAUGUGGUUUAAUUCGAUGAUACGCGAGGAACCUUACCUGGGCUAGAACGCAUUCGGAAUCAGGCCGAAAGGCCUGCGCCAGCGAUGGCCGCUUGCGAGGUGCUGCAUGGUUGUCGUCAGCUCGUGCCGUGAGGUGUCGGGUUAAGUCCCAUAACGAGCGCAACCCCUACUGCUAGUUGCCAGCGGGUCAUGCCGGGGACUCUAGCGGAACUGCCAGCGUAAGCUGCGAGGAAGGUGGGGAUGACGUCAAAUCAGCACGGCCCUUACGUCCAGGGCUACACACGUGUUACAAUGGCCGGUACAGAGGGCAGCCACCCCGCGAGGGGGCGCGAAUCCCGAAAGCCGGUCCCAGUUCGGAUCGGAGUCUGCAACCCGACUCCGUGAAGCUGGAUUCGCUAGUAAUCGCGCAUCAGCCACGGCGCGGUGAAUACGUUCCCGGGCCUU
rnacentral:rRNA from 1 species